UAGAGGAAGGAGGUUGCGGGUAGAAGACUCCAUACUUUCUGUGAUGCCUAUUCCUUAGCUUGAGAUGAAUGUUUUCUCAGUAUCCUAUGCUGAAAACAGGUAGAUACUAAUAUCGAUCUUCAAGGGAGGGCUGUUGAGUUUUGAAUAAGACAAAAACAUGGAAGCAAUCAGCACCAUGCUGGAAUCAAGGCUAUCUGUAAUCACAGGGCUAUUUGAAAAAGAGAAGAAAAGGUGUCUUGAAAUUCAACCAACAUGUUUCAAUUAUUUGCUCCUAAGAACAACAGAAGUUUCAACAUUCUGCCAACAAAGUAACUCCUGGAAGAUUGGCACAGAAGAAGGCACAAGGAGAGCCUUUAUAUAACCAAAGAUAUUUUUGGACCAUGAAUUCGGAAAUUCUCGGAGCCACCCAUCAGUGCCUGAGCUUCAGUGAGUCCAUAUCCCAUGUCACCCACGGCAAAGGAGAAUCUAAGACUUCUGAAGAGUUUCUUGCUUCUUUCCUGUGGGGCAGUGACUCCACUUCCCAGCAGUAAUGGAAUAUCCUGAAUUAGCUACAUUAAUGUUAGAACCAUUUGGACCUCACCCAGGACUUCAACUACAUUAUGGUAAGACAAAGCCAGAGCUAGAAGGCAAUAAUUUCUUCCUUCUGGCUCAACAGUACCUAUCUUGUAGAGUUAUUUGAGGAAUGGUUGUAUUCUUGAUGUUAUAAUUAUUAACUCUGCCCAUAUACCGAC
rnacentral:sRNA from 1 species